UACGAAGGGGCUAGCGUUGCUCGGAAUCACUGGCGUAAAGCGCACGUAGGCGGACUCUUAAGUCGGGGUGAAAUCCUGGAGCUCAACUCCAGAACUGCCUUCGAUACUGGGAGUCUUGAGUUCGGGAGAGGUGAGUGGAACUGCGAGUGUAGAGGUGAAAUUCGUAGAUAUUCGCAAGAACACCAGUGGCGAAGGCGGCUCACUGGCCCGAUACUGACGCUGAGGUGCGAAAGCGUGGGAGC
rnacentral:rRNA from 1 species